CAAAUUGAUCCAAGAUGAUGACAGAAUAUGUUGUAAAAGAAGCAUUUCACAAAAAGAAACCGGCCUUGAUUGAUUUUUCAACGAAAAAUAGAAAUUUCCAAAGUAUUUGAGACAUCAAAGACAAGUCAAACAAACUUUACUACACCCAAUGUAAAUUCUAGGCUUCAUAUAUUUUUCAUUCUUUCAUUCAGAGAACAAGAAAAGAAAAGAUCUAACAAAGAUACGUCAAAUUGCUACUCACCAACGUGGAAGCUCCACAUCGAAUCCUGC
rnacentral:lncRNA from 1 species